rnacentral:rRNA from 1 species
AUUGAACGCUGGCGGAAUGCUUUACACAUGCAAGUCGGACGGGAUUUGGGAGCUUGCUCCUAAUGAGAGUGGCGCACGGGUGCGUAACACGUAUGUAACCUACCUUAGACAGGGGGAUAGCCUCUCGAAAGAGAGAUUAAGACCGCAUAACAUUAUUGAGUGGCAUCAUUUAAUAAUCAAAUAUUUAUAGGACUAAGAUGGGCAUGCGGAACAUUAGCUAGUUGGUAGGGUAACGGCCUACCAAGGCUACGAUGUUUAGGGGAUCUGAGAGGAUGGCCCCCCACACUGGUACUGAGACACGGACCAGACUCCUACGGGAGGCAGCAGUAAGGAAUAUUGGUCAAUGGGCGGAAGCCUGAACCAGCCAUGCCGCGUGCAGGAAGACGGCCCUACGGGUUGUAAACUGCUUUUAUACGGGAAUAAACCUACUUACGUGUAAGUAGCUGAAUGUACUGUAAGAAUAAGGAUCGGCUAACUCCGUGCCAGCCGCCGCGGUAA